AUUGAACGCUGGCGGCAUGCCUUACACAUGCAAGUCGAACGGUAACAGGUCUUCGGAUGCUGCCGAGUGGCGAACGGGUGAGUAAUACAUCGGAACGUGCCUAGUAGUGGGGGAUAACUACUCGAAAGAGUGGCUAAUACCGCAUGAGAUCUACGGAUGAAAGCAGGGGAUCGCAAGACCUUGUGCUACUAGAGCGGCCGAUGGCAGCUUAGGUAGUUGGUGGGAGAAAAGCUUACCAAGCCGACGACCUGUAGCUGGUCUGAGAGGACGAUCAGGCAGAAUGGGACUGAGAAACGGCCCAGGCUGCUACUGGAGGCGGCAGGGGGGAAUUUUGGACAAUGGGAGCAAGCCUGAUCCAGCAAUGCCGCGUGCAGGAUGAAGGCGUUGGGGUUUUAAGCUGCUUUUGUACGGAACGAAAAGCCCUGGGUUAAUACCCUGGGGUCAUGACGGUACCGUAAGAAUAAGCACCGGCUAACUACGUGCCAGCCGCCGCCGUAA
rnacentral:rRNA from 1 species